CGUCUAUAUACGUAUAGCAUAUCAAUAAGCGGAGGAAAAGAAACUAACAAGGAUUCCCUUAGUAACGGCGAGUGAAGCGGGAAGAGCUCAAAUUUGAAAUCUUCAAGGUUCUACCUUGAUGAAUUGUAGUUUAAAGAAGUGUUUUCUGUUAGAGGAGCUAGCAAAAGUUCCUUGGAAUGGGACAUCAUAGAGGGUGAGAAUCCCGUAUUUGGUUAUUCUUUCUAGCUUUGUGAUACACUUUCAAGGAGUCGGAUUGUUUGGGAAUGCAGUCCAAAAUGGGUGGUAAAUUUCAUCUAAAGCUAAAUAUUGGCGAGAGACCGAUAGCGAACAAGUACCGUGAGGGAAAGAUGAAAAGAACUUUGAAAAGAGAGUUAAACAGUACGUGAAAUUGUCAAAAGGGAAGCGUUUGACACCAGUGUUGUUUUUUCCGAAAAUCAAUUAAGAACGUGGCUUGAUUUUGUGUUGUAUUGACCUUAUCAGCUUUCUUCACUCUUUUUCGAGUCUUUCUUAAUGCACUUUUCGGUUAACAAGUCAACAUCAAUUUCUUUUGUUGUAAAAGGGUAUUUGGAAGGUGGCUUUCUUUUCGGAGAAAGUGUUUAUAGCCUUAUACCUCUACAAUCGGAGAGAUUGAGGUCUGCAGCGUAGAUCCUUCGGGGCUAGAUACACUUGUGCUAAGUUAUAGCUUUUCAUAGACAACAUGUUGACUAUGUUUAGUCAUGUAGCUUACUCGCUUGUGCUAUUUUACCUACGCUUAGGAUGUUGAGUCAUCACACAUCUCU
rnacentral:rRNA from 1 species